AUUUUUACCAGCCAGUUCGCCGGCACGCGUCUGGCGGGGAAUACGUUUUAGUGUAAUCGAAUUUCAAAUACCGUAAGAACGUCAAUUUGUGUUUUAACGCGCGAAAUGAUUUUGGAGAUUUUUGAAUGAAAAUAGUAAAUUAGUUACAACAAUAUUCUCCCAAACUUGCUCUGUUAAAUGAAAUAACUCAUGUAACAGCCAACAAUAUUUAUUAUUUGACGAGUGAUAAAAAAUCGGCGGUUCUGAAACUUUUUACCGAGUGAAGAAAGUUUGCAAAACAAUGGGGAAAACAGUAUCAGCACUGCUGUUUUUUACAGUACUUACCUUAGCAAAAGCCGUUGUCCCUGGGUCCACUACUGCCAACGAGAUAAAUCAGCUUAACAAAAAACAGGCGACGGGCAUUGGCGGAGCGCUGUACCCUCAAGUUACAGAAACUAGAGAUUUGAGAGUAUUAGAUGGAGUAUGGAAUUUCAGAAAAUCUCCCGUAGAUCCUGAAUUUGGAUACAAACACGGCUGGUAUGAAAAGGACCUUGAGAAGACGGGUCCUGUGAUACCAAUGCCUGUACCUGCGUCUUACAAUGACGUAGGGGUAGACGCAGAUUUACGCGACCAUGUAGGCAUAGUGUGGUACGAUCGUCGCUUUCACGUGCCGCCAUGGUGGAUCAAGGGAGAACAGCGAGUCUGGUUGAGAUUCAGUAGCGUACACUAUGCUGCCCAAGUGUGGGUGAACGGCAAGCAAGUGAUGUUCCACGAGAUCGGGCAUCUUCCGUUCGAAGCAGAAAUUACCGAUAGGGUGUUCUACAACACCAGCAAUCUUCUUACUGUGGCGGUGGACAACACACUUCUCGGUGACACCAUUCCACAGGGCAGUGUGAGAGAUAUUUUUGCUAACAAUAUGAAAAUUCGUCAAGAGCAAACGUACACGUUUGACUUCUUUAAUUACGCUGGCAUUCACCGAUCAGUAUUCCUUUACUCCACGCCAAAACUCUACAUCGAUGACGUUAUUGUUAACACUGACAUACAAGGACUCACGGGCUUCGUAGUAUACAACAUAACAUAUAAAGGCACCUCACCAGUCAAUGUGGAAUGUUUAGUUCAGCUGAUAGAUAAAACUAACACACAAGUCGCGGCGCUGCAAGACUGUGCAGGAUUGCUGGAAAUCGGCAACGCUAAAUUCUGGUGGCCAUAUCUAAUGCAUUCUGAACCUGGUUAUUUGUACACUUUUAAGGCUUCACUAAUAGCACCAAAUGGCGAGGUAAUUGACACCUACUCUCAAAAGAUUGGCAUCAGAACAGUAACGUGGAGCAAUAAAACGAUAUAUUUGAACGAAAAGCCCUUGUAUCUACGAGGUUUCGGCAUGCAUGAAGAUUCUGAUUUGCGAGGCAAAGGUUGGGACCCAGUUCUGUGGGUAAAGAAUUUCAAUCUAAUCAAAUGGGUCGGUGCCAACGCUUUCCGUACAUCACAUUACCCAUACGCUGAAGAGAUUUACCAAAUGGCCGACGAGAAUGGCAUCAUGGUUAUUGACGAAUGCCCAAGUGUAGACACAGACUUCUUCACAAGUUCUUUACUCUUAAAGCACAAACAGUCUCUAACAGAAUUGAUAAGACGAGACAAGAAUCAUCCCAGUGUUAUCAUGUGGUCCAUUUCCAACGAACCACGAUCGUACAAAAAGGAAGCAGAUCUUUAUUUCGCGGAAGUAGUAAAACAUGUUAAGUCUAUGGAUCUUUCAAGACCCGUUACAAUUGCUAUUUCACAAGGCUACAACAACGACAAAGCUGCUGGACACAUAGAUGUUAUUCUCUUCAACCGUUAUAAUGGUUGGUACUACGACACUGGCCUGUUGUUUGACAUUGCCCACAACGUGGAAGGAGAAGCACGAGCUUGGUACACUGCCUUCGAAAAACCCAUUGUAAUGUCGGAGUACGGUGCUGACACAAUGCCAGGGUUACAUAUGUUGCCGGAGUACGUCUGGUCUGAGGAGUUCCAGCUGGCGCUGAUGUCGGAGCAUUUCAAGGCGUUCGAUAAACUACGGCAGUCCGGCUUCUUUGCCGGAGAGUUCAUUUGGAACUUUGCUGAUUUCAAGACUGCGCAAACCAUAACCAGAGUAGGCGGCAACAAGAAAGGCAUCUUUACAAGGGCGAGAGAGCCCAAAGCGUCAGCUCAUCACCUUAGAGCUCGGUACCUAGCUUUAGCUGCAGCCGAUUCCGGCACACCAAAGCCAUCAAUAGCUUAUUACAUUAGUGAUAACAACCCCGCAACACACGAAGAAUUAUAAACCAUUUCAUCACGGUGCAAAUUGUUAGAAUAUGGACCCCGUCUGGCUUAGCUAGUACAAAAACUAUGCAGUAAGUACCUAGAAUGUGUACCUAUUUCUGUUAGGUAAGGUACGCAUGAUAGGUAAAGUAUUAUCGCAUCUUGCGAAAUUGAUCAACAGAACUAUGUAGGUACCUUAUGCUGGCUUUUAUUGUUUCCUAUCGGUGUAUCUGUUCUAUCAAAUUGUAUCGAUGUGAUCACGUGGAACCAUAGUUGAUAGUGAUAGAAUAAAUGCCAUGAUCUUAUACCAAAUCGAAUAGUUGAUUUAGUUUUACAUGAUAAAGCAAUUUGCCAGACAACUUGGUUAAAUUGACUAUAAUGUCCUUACCCAUGAAACAUUGGAGUAACUUAACAAGUUAAAAGAGACGAGCGUUACUGCCAAUAGGUGUCCAAAAUUGUUUUUCUUUUGUAAAGAUGGUAAAUUGUCGUUAUUUAAAUACUUAAAUUCGCUACCUACAUACCUAAGUAUGAUAUUGCCUAUAACGGU